GACGUAGGUGGCGAACGUUAUCCGGAAUUAUUGGGCGUAAAGGAUGCGUAGAUGGUGUUGUAAGUUAUCGGUGGUAAAUCGAGGCUCAACCUCGUGGAAGUCGGUAAUACUGCUAUACUUGAGGAUAGGAGAGGUUAACGGAACUCCCUGUGGAGCGGUGAAAUGCGUAGAUAUAGGGAAGAACACCAAUAAGGCGAAGGCAGUUAACUAGUCUACUACUGACAUUGAGGCAUGAAAGCGUGGGGAGCAAAACGG
rnacentral:rRNA from 1 species